CUGGGCCAUUUAAAGCUUACAAUGCUUUAUAAGUUUUGCUUUUUUGUUGAAUGCCAUAUAGUGACCUAUAGCUACUAUCAUUUCGUCUCUGGUGGUGAGUUGUUUUAUUGGAAAUCAUACCACAUCUUCAUAUUUUUGUGCUGACUUUACUUUAAAAGUUUUCUUAUAAAUUUAAAAUUUGUAGGCUUUAUUGUCUUCCAUCCUUUUAC
rnacentral:lncRNA from 1 species